rnacentral:rRNA from 1 species
UACGUAGGGCGCGAGCGUUGUCCGGAUUUAUUGGGCGUAAAGAGCUCGUAGGCGGCUCGUUGCGUCGGCUGUGAAAACCCGCAGCUCAACUGUGGGCUUGCAGCUGAUAUGGGCGGGCUGGGAUUCGGUAGGGGAGACUGGAAUUCCUGGUGUAGCGGUGAAAUGCGCAGAUAUCAGGAGGUACACCGGUGGCGAAGGCGGGUCUCUGGGCCGAUAUCGACGCUGAGGAGCGAAAGCGUGGGGAGCGAACAGG